rnacentral:rRNA from 1 species
AACCCUUGACAUCCUGUGCCACUACCAGAGAUGGUACGUUCCCUUCGGGGACGCAGUGACAGGUGCUGCAUGGCUGUCGUCAGCUCGUGUCGUGAGAUGUUCGGUUAAGUCCGGCAACGAGCGCAACCCACAUCUUUAGUUGCCAGCAGGUUAAGCUGGGCACUCUAGAGAAACUGCCCGUGAUAAGCGGGAGGAAGGUGUGGAUGACGUCAAGUCCUCAUGGCCCUUACGGGUUGGGCUACACACGUGCUACAAUGGCAGUGACAAUGGGUUAAUCCCCAAAAGCUGUCUCAGUUCGGAUUGGGGUCUGCAACUCGACCCCAUGAAGUCGGAAUCGCUAGUAAUCGCGUAACAGCAUGACGCGGUGAAUACGUUCCCGGGCC